GUUGCAUUUAAAGCAUUUGAGGUAGCCCUGGCCGUUCUCGAAACUUUGAUUGUUGAUGCAAACAUAUCCUUGAUUUUGAGUGGGUUAUUUUUUGCAAUUCAUUACUAGAAGAAGUUGUGUCGUACAAUAAAGAAAAAUAUCAAUGUAAAAAUUCGAGAUUUGUACAAACCAACUAUAAUACAACAUUUUCUUUGGCCUAUAUUGAGUCUUGUACACAAACUAUUGUGCAAUAUUUUCUUUAGCUUAUAUUGAGGAAAUCUAUAUCUAAGACUUUUCACAUAAUUUAACAAUGAACUUGCCAAUUUGACAUGAAGAAUAAACUAAAGUUUCCAUAAUAUUUUCUUUUAGUGGCAGGGAACUAAAGCAUCAGGUCGUACUCGGGUAAGUUUUUCGCAGUGUUAUGUUCAUAUGUACAUAAAAAGAAAAAUCUUGCUAAAAUGGGACGACUUUGAAAAUUUUCAUAUUUUAUUGUCCGAAAAAAUGGAAUAUAGCAUUUAAAGCAUUUGAAGUGGUCCACUCCAUCCUCUACACUUUGAUUGUGCGUGCAAACAGAUCUUUGAUUUUCAGCAGGUUAAUUUUGGCAAUUUAGUGCUAGAAAAAAGUUGUUUUCGACACUAAACAAAUUGCUAAUGACAAAUUUGAGAUUUGUACACACAUACUCUCCUGUAAUAUUUUCUUUAGCCUGUAUUGACGGAAUCUAAAUCUAAGACUUGUCACAUAAUUUAAAAAAGAAUUUACCAACUUGACACGAAGAAUAAGUUAAAGUUUUCCUAAUAGUUUUCUUUUUGUGGCAGGGAGCUGGAACAUCAAGUCAUGUAGAGGUCAGUUUUCUGCAUUGUUAUGUUUAUAUAUACUUUAAAAAAUUCUUGCUAAACUGGUACGACUUGGAAAAUUUUCAUAUUAUGCUUUCUGAAAAAAUGGAAUGUUGCAUUUAAAGAAUUUGAGGUAGCUCACUUCAUCCUCUACACUUUGAUUGUCAAUGCAAACAGAUUUUGAUUUUCAGCAGGGUAAUGUUGGCUAUUUAUAGCUAGAAUAAGUUGUGUUUGACACUAAACAAAUCACUAAUACAAAAAUUUGAGAUUUGCACUCACAAACUGUCGCGCAGUAUUUUCUUUAGCUUGUAUUGAGGUAAUCUAAAUCUAAGACUUGUCACAUAAUUUAACAAAGAACUUACCAAUUAGACAUGAAGAAUAAACUAGAGUUUUUCUAAUAUCUUUCUUUUUGCAGCAGGGAACUGCAACAUCAGGCCAUACUCGGGUAAGUUUUCUAUAUGAAGAAAAGACUCAAGAUAUCAACUCGUGCAACUUGAGAUUUAAAACAAUAAUUUAAAUGUUUUCUUAAGUUCUUGUCAUUAUUAGUAGUUGAUAUUUUCCUAAAUAAGUAAUUCGCUAAUACCGGUUGUAGGAUAUUAUUAUUGUUGGACCCAAAUAAGAAAGUAAACCAAUUAAAAACACCAAGUCAUUUAUUAAUUAUUUCUAGAUGAUUAAGGUAAUUAAUUCAAUUUAAUUUAUUCUAAGUGUCAAUCAAAUAAAUAUUCAGAUCAAAUCAAUAAAAUAAAUAACAUCAAGAAUUGAUCAUGGAGGAAGAUCCUCGGGAUAAAAUAAUCUCUUGGCAAACUUGCCAAUAAACGAUCCAAUAGCAAAAUUAACUUACAAUUAGUCCAGAUACUAACUCUGCUGGUUGUGCAUGCCCACACUUCCCAAAACCGUGGGCCACUUUUCUCCUAUUGGACCACCAAGAACGAACCUUUAUUCUUCAACACUAGAACUCCAAACACCUCUUCUCCAAGCUUAAGAUUUCUCAAGCUUUAUAGAUGAAGGCAGAGGGUUGUUUAGUGUUCGAAUGGCUAAAGCAAGAGAUUUAUUAAAAUAUGUAAUGGAUCUUCAAAUAAUGUUCUCUUCACUUAAAAUAAAAGCUCAACCAAUGGAAAACAAUAAAUGGGAAAAUAUUAAAUAUAUUUGUGAUUGAAUCAAUAUAUCUUUUGAAAUGAGUUUAUGAUCUUCAAAUAUUGAUCUCUAUAAUGAAUAUAAUGUUCAACCACACUUUAGAACAUUCCAUGGCUUGUGUAUUUAUAAUGGAUAGUGUUUAGGGUGAAAAGGGAUUGAAAAUCACAGUUAAAAUCGAAUCAAGAUUCUUGCUAGAUAAUAUCGCCUCCCAAGCACCAAGUAUGAACCAAGCAAGCAGCAGCCCGUCUCUCAAGCGGGCAGUUACUGUUAAGCAAGCACCAAUGAUUCUACUUCAAUUUGUGUUGCGCCACUCAAGUGCUAAUGUAAUGUACCGAAAUUUCAUAGAAUAGAAUUUAAUUUAUGUGUGCUAUAAUUUAAUAUUUUGGAAGUUUAUGGACUAAAGUAUAUAUAAAGUAAAUUUCAAUUUUUAUCGAAUGUUAAAAUUAGAUGCUGACAGAGUGACAAUAAGUAUAUGAAUAUUGGGCUCGUUGGAUAGAUAGUAAUUAAUCAUGCAUAUUAGGCUCGAGAAAAAGUUAAUCUGGAUUAUCCGACCCCGAAUUAUCGAGAUUAAAAGAUAUAGCUUUAAACUAUAUUUUAAAUGAUUAUUUAAUGAAUUUAAAAUUUAUAUAUGGUUGACAUGUAUAGAACUAGAUUCUCAAUAGGGUAAUGAAUGAUGUUUUAUUAAAAAAAAAAAAAAGGAGAGGGGAUAAGGAAACCACAUGAUAGAGAGAGCAACAUUAUUGAUUUUCCUUUCAAUUUGUUGGAAGAGGCGACAAGUGUAUGAAAUGUAUUGGUUGUUGAAUGGUAUAGUUGGUUGACAAGGCUUGGUCAAUUAUUUUAAUUCAGAAGUCCGUUUCCCAAUUCUUAUCCAUGCCCCUAUCCUACUUCUACACGUUUCCCCAACUACACACCCACUUUGUUAGACUAGAUCGUGGGUGAUAUAUUUAUAUAUGUAUAUCAAAAGAAGACAUAUGCAUAAGUACACGGUUGUAGAGAGAGAAAAGUGUUGGAAACACAUAAAUUACAUACUUCAUACUUUAUGCAAUGUAAAAGGAUUCUUACUUUCCCUAAAAAUUUAUAGAUACUUAGACCUGGGGUAUUGGGAUUUAAAAUAGGAAGUCAAUUUCGAAUAAUAUAAAUCCUUGAAGUAGGGAGAAAGAUUUUAAAGUUAAAGUUAUGCUAUGAAAUGCUAUGAUAUGAAUGAUAUGGUCGUUCUGAUACAAUGAUAUGAUAUGAUAUAAGCUCUCACCAGAUUUUAAAGAUAUGAGAGGGUAUGAUAUUCUGAUACAUGUGUUUCAAAUUAUUAGUUGUGAUCGCACCAUUAUAUUCUACUGAGUAUUCCCAUGUACUCAACCUUUUCCCUACUCCUCACAGGUUAGAUCGGGUCGUUAGUCGGCUGGUGAUGAGGUGAAAUUGUUGGGCCAAGAUUUAUGGGACUAAAUGAAAUAAUAAGUGUAACAUGCCCUAAAUUCUAAAUUUUAGCAGUAACCUUAGUUUAUUAAUUUAUUGAACUCGUUCAUUUAAUUUGAAAUUUGGGACGAAUUUGUUUAGACGUGUAAUUUCAUGCAAUAACUUGAAAUUUUUUUA
rnacentral:lncRNA from 1 species